rnacentral:lncRNA from 1 species
UGUUUCCCAAGGAAAACACAGCUUUCUUUAUCUCUUCCAUUGAGAAAUUGUCAUCCAAGCCACUUAGAUCCAACUGUGGAGAGCUAUAUAGCACAUUCCAAUCAAAGGUUAAUCGAGGGGUGGGUAGAGCUCCCAAACAAGUUUUUGCAAAAAGAUGUAUCUUCGAUGCAAUCAUUUCUUGAUUUUGAAUUUCCACACCAUCAUCCACAGUAGAAAUUAUACAAUUUUUACGCUUUCUUCCUGAGAUGACCUUAUGAAAAAAAGAGGUGUUGCAGUCCCCUUCCUUCAACUGACCUUGGACCAUUGCUUCUAGUAAAUCUCUUCAUUGCUAUAGAUAUCCUCCAACGAACACCUCAAAAUUCUUGUUGCUGCAAACUCUCGGGGCGAAACAUCUGAAGAUUCCUCCUUUCUAUCCAAUAUCAGUAUCAUGUUGAACUUUCUCCUUCAAAUCUUUGUUAGUGAUUCUUUUGUUGGAGGUCCACAAUUUAAGGAGCCUUUCUUGAAUUUCUCAAGUUACUUACCUAUGCCGCUGUCGGGUUGGGAUCACCCCUAAUCUUUUUCCACGAGCUAUAUACAACAUCUUCAAGGUCUGGUUCUUUGAUCCAUCAAGCCUCAAAUCUGAAAAUUCUUGGACAAUGAAACUUGAUAUUGCAAUCGAGGGCAAUAGGAAUAUAAUCAGAAGCAGAGGAGGACAAAGCCUCCAACCGAGCAAGUGAAGGGUGUUCUCAUCUGUUAGUCCAGGUAAAAUCUCUGCCUUUGAGAUCUAAAUCCACAAGUUCGGCUGCCAAAAUAAGAAACAUCAAAUUAUCUCCGGGACACUGUGGAUUACCUCUUCUUUCAGUCGUGCUUUUGGUGAUGUUAAAAUUCCCUGCAAAAGUUUUCUAACAUCAAUCAAUUCCUAAAAGAAUGCUUCUCUCAAAUCUCUCUCAUUGGGUCCAUAAACUGUGGUUACCAAAAGGUUCUUCUGAAGGUUAAUGUAGACUUAUUCUACUGACACAGAGAAGGUUUUCUUUAGCACAUUCUUGACAGUAAACAGCUAUGAGUUCCAUCUAAUUAACAUUCCCCCUGAUGAUCCAUCUGAAUCAAGACAUGCCCAGCAAUCCAGUUUGCUUCCAUCCAGAGUUCUCAGAUAAGGUUGAGAAGGUGAAGCCACCUUAGUUUCUUGUAGAAGUAGAACAUCACAAGAGGAAGAGUAGAUGAGGUCCCUCACAACUUUCUUCUUACCUGUUGCACCCGAUUCCCUGAUGUUCCAGAUAACAAUUAUCAUGGCAAUUUACAGUACAACCUCAGAGUGUAGCGGGGAAAAGGUGGCAAGACAAAAUCCUCAAUCAGUAAAGACCAAUCAUGGCAAUCAUUCACGCUCUGGGCAAACAACAAAGGCCACAUCUUCACUGAUCUACAUGAUAAGCAAACUUCAAGAAAAACAAACACACAUGAAUAAGACGAAAAAGAGAGUUCAUCAUCCCAUUGCCAUGCACUUCUAGCUAGGGGUGCCAACUUAGCAAACAUCCAAUACAAAGACAAGCUCGCAACCAUCAAAAACACUCUUCAGUGCUAACAGAUACCAACCCCCAUAAUUGAAGAAACGUAAAAACAACCACAAAUGGAAAUGCCAGCACAAAAACCAAAACACAUACAAAUGAGACUUUAUGACGCUAAAUUUACCACCUCCUUAGCGAUGUCUUCAUUGAAGGAGAGACCACAAACCUUCCCCCAUUCAAGUAGCAUGCAGCUCGUGAGGGAGGGAAUUCAGAGGUAGAGCCGGGUCAAUAUUUCUUUCGGCCUCCUUGUUUUCCUUCUUCCAACUUCAAAGUAGCUUCCUUCACUGCUCCAAUAGCUUUAGCUCUAAUCGAUCUUUGUGUAAUAACCCAGAAUUAAAAAAAAAAAAAAAA